rnacentral:lncRNA from 1 species
GUUAUAAUAUGUGACCAAAUGUUUUAAAAUGAUAAAAACUAUUUAAAUUAACUAUUAAGGUUGUUACGUUUUUAUUUUAAUUUUUUUAUAUUCAGUAAUUUUAUUUUUUUAAAUGCUGAAACAUAACAAUAAUAAUAUGAAACAUAUUAUCUUUUAAAUAUAACUGAAUUUACAUAAAUAAAAAUUUACCAAAGAAAUGAUACAAGUAAAUGCAUAUUUUGAGCUUGAUUAUCAAGUUUGAGUACCUAAGUAACACUGGGUGAAAUAUAAAUGGUAAAUAUAAAUACUGUAAAAUUUAUUGUAGGCAUAAAUACAAAUAUACAAUACAUAUUUCUUAUUGUAACUUGUUUACAAUUCUAUAAAUUAUUUUAAAUAAAAAAAACUAUAUUUUUGUAGCAUAUUUUCAUGUUUAAGGAAUAUUAAGAGAAUAUUUUAAGGUUUUUUAGAACAUAUUAUCAUCAUACACUAAACUUUUAAGAACCUAAAAAUCCGCCCUCUAGCUAUAACAGUUAGACAGCUGAAACGUGAAGAUUUCUAAUCGUAACGGAAAUAGACAUCACUUUUUAUAAUAAAUUCGCUAAAAUAAUAAUAUAAAAAUUGUAGUAAAAUUACACUGUUGUAAAUGUUGAAAUACUUGUUAGAAUUUCGCAUUUGAAAUUUUAAUGUCAAUCGUGAUUUUGCCUGCCAGACAGGAGAAAAAUGUAGAAAUCUACAUUGACGGAGAAAAAUGUAUUCGAUUAUAAUUUAUAAAAAUCACUUUAUAUAGUUUUUAAACAAUAUAAUACCUUGUUCUAAUCAUCAAUUUCAAAGGUGAUUUUCUAGUAGAAAAUUUUGACUAAAUGUUGGUUUUUUUGAAAUAUCAUUUUGGUUUGAUUAUAAUAACAAUACAAAUAAUGGUUUUGUGGUUUCUAAAUAAAAAGUAUUGCACAAAUUACGUUUUCUACAUUCGUUUGGGAUUUUUUUGUUAUUUUUAACAAUAGAAAAAGUUUCCAUUCAAAAUAAUUGCGGUUUACCAAUUGAAUGGGUUCAAGACUAUUGCUUCAUAAAAAUACGAUCUUAGCAACAAGUUUAAUCAAAGAUAUUUGAUUUUACUUUUUACGAUUUCAACUCAGGAAAUGUAUUAAGUAAAUUGUUUUUCAAGUAUAUUAUUGUCUUUUACAUAGCAUCAUUAAAUUGUUAACUAUGUACGUACUAUAUUAUACUAAUAAAUGUUUCUUCGCGUGUUUGCUACAUUACCAUUAAAAAUAGUAUUAAUUUACUGCACGAUUGACACGAAACACGAUCUCUAGAAUAAUAUAUUAUACGUAAAACCGCGAAGUUGACAAAAGAUAAAACUAUAACAAUGCCUACUUCUUUAUAAUAUAGUAAUCUUAAUAGUCAUGAAAAAAUAUUUGUAUACUUAUUGUUUCAUCGGUAAUAAAGAUUAUACAGUUUAUAACUACGAUUAAACUUUUAAAAGAAAAAAAAAACGACAAUAAUAAAGGUAUAUUUUAUAUUUGAAGCGUAAGCCAAAAAAAAAAAACAAACUAAAAACAGUAAAAAAUGUUUAUCUACCUAUUUGGGCUUAACGUAUACGGCAGAAACUGAUUCAGGAAUUAUUCAAUGGGGAGGGGUAGUUAAAAUGUAUACAGUACCAAUAUUAUUCUAUAGGGAACAGUACAAUGCAUUAUAUUAUGCUGAAAGAAGAGGGGGGGUUAUUAAUACUCGAUUAUCCCCAGUGGAUCCCUCACUAGCAUAUACGAUUAAAAUAUUUGGUGAUCAACCACAGUUAAAUGGACUCGGCGAUGCACGGGAAGAUGUAUUUAAAUGUAUAUUUAUAACUGUUGGCUUCCACCGUUGGACGAUAACCGUUGAUGGGUAAGGGGUAAGGGAAGACAUGCCCCCCUAGAAAAAAUAAAUAUCACAACAAUUGAUUUUUGUUAUUAAUUAUUUAAAUUAAUUUAAACAAUUAUGUAGGUACUAUAAACUGUAGAUAAACAAGUAUUUAAUGCAUCUAAAUCUGUAGUUUAAAUAAUAUUAAUGUUUUGUAGGCAUUGGACUUUAUACUAUUAUUUGUAUAUUUGCAAUCCCACGGUUACCUUGUUGAUAAAUGUUUUGGAAAACCUGAUUUUAGUUUGUUCUCCCGGACAGAAAAUUACUUUCUGGACUCACACAAAAUUAACAUUUAAAUAUUAUCCAUACAUUUUAAAAUAUUAUUCUCAUAAUCAUUCAGGAGUGGAUUUGAUGGAACCCGACCCACUAUUCUAGGUAUACUACACUAAAAAGUUUUCAGGAUCUUAUUUAUUUAUUUUUAAAUAUCGAUAUAUAUAUAUAUAUUGUUCAAUUAAAGUUGAAUUAAUAAAAAAGCGUAAACGAUUAAAAGGUUUGUGAAUGUACAAUUAUUAAAAAUAAGUAAUAUCUCGUAAUUAAUAUUAAUACGAAUUUAAAUGUUUGUCGUAAAUAAUUAAUAUAUUAAUGUAUAAUGUUGCGUAUAAUAGAGAAGAUUGAAAAUCGACUGCAAACCAAUCUUCAGAUUUAAACCAUAAAGAGAAAAUUAAUAUGUCAAUAAUAACGUAGAAUGAAAGCAUAUCAUAAUAUAAUAUUAUAAUCAAUAUGAUUAAAAUUUGGUGUAAUAUGGAACAUAAAAUGUGAUACUUUAAUGUAGUAUAUGGGUACCUAUAUAUUAACUUUAUCAUCCUCUGAUUAAUAUUUCUAGUAAAUAUAUUUUGAGUAAAUACAAUAUAAUAUGUAAUAUAUAAUAUAUAUCCAAUUAUGGUAUAUUUUUAUUUUUAAAAUAUUACCUUUUUUUUCCAAUUAAGAAAUUCAUUGUUUACUAAAUUUUGUAUUUGUUGUGUCCGUAGCAUUAAUGAAUCGACGAGUCUCAAGAAAUAAGUAUAUGCAAAAAUUAAUAGGUAAUCAUGGGUCUAUAUCACGAUGCAGAUAAAAUGUUACAAAACUUAUGCACAAAGUCAAAAAUCACACAUAACAAAU